rnacentral:misc_RNA from 1 species
CGCACAUUGCGCCCACCAGUAUUCUGGUGGGCAUGCCUGUUCGAGCGUCAUUUCAACCCUCAGAGCUCUCUUCUGCGCUCUGGUGUUGGGGAUCGUCCGCCCCCCGCGGCGGCCGGCCCUGAAAUGGAAUGGCGGUCUCGCUGUGACCUCCUCCGUGUAGUAGUGAUACCUCGCGGCUGGAUAGCGACGGGACCACGCCGUAAAACAACCCACUGCUUUUAUGGUUGACCUCGAAUCAGGUAGGGAUACCCGCUGAACUUAA